rnacentral:lncRNA from 1 species
GCUAAUCGAUUAAUUUUAUAUUUACUUUUUGCCCAACAAAAAUGGGGACAAUAGUAGUAACUGUAACAGCUAAAAUUUCACCCCUGAAAAUAAUAAUUAAGACAAGAAAUAUAGCAAUAAAAAAGUAUUUAUAAUUUUAAUAAUUUAUGUGGGUUCUAACCUUUGAACAAUCUUAAGUUUAAAAGAUGUAAUCCCCUGAUUCUUCUCCUCAUGACCGUCAAUUCGAGAGCUUCGCUUGUUCUUGAAUUGAUGGACCGCUUAUUGUUGGGAUUUGACCACGAAUGUGGAGCUAGGGAUCACAAGCGUGGAAGAUGGAAAACUUGUGGCUCAUCCCUUGGAGAUGUGCUAUGCGAAAGACUUGCGAAUCACCACUGUGGAGGAGAGCUUCAAU